UACGGAGGGUGCGAGCGUUAAUCGGAAUCACUGGGCGUAAAGCGCACGUAGGCGGCGCAUCAAUUCAUACUUUCCCUCCCUCUUCUCCCCCUAUUAAUUGCGUUUGAAACUGGUGUGCUGGAGUCUCGGAGAGGUUGGCGGAAUUCCAGGUGUAGGAGUGAAAUCCGUAGAUAUCUGGAGGAACACCGGUGGCGAAGGCGGCCAACUGGACGAGUACUGACGCUGAGGUG
rnacentral:rRNA from 1 species